AGCGAACGCUGGCGGCAUGCUUAACACAUGCAAGUCGCACGGUCAGCAAUGGCAGUGGCGGACGGGUGAGUAACGCGUAGGUAUCUAUCUCUGGGUGGGGGACAACCGUGGGAAACUACGGCUAAUACCGCAUGAAGCCCGAGGGCCAAAGCAGCAAUGCGCCUGGAGAGGAGCCUGCGUACGAUUAGCUUGUUGGUGAGGUAAUGGCUCACCAAGGCGACGAUCGUUAGCUGGUCUGAGAGGAUGAUCAGCCACACUGGGACUGAGACACGGCCCAGACUCCGUACGGGAGGCAGCAGUGGGGAAUAUUGGACAAUGGGCGCAAGCCUGAUCCAGCAAUGCCGCGUGAGUGAAGAAGGUCUUCGGAUU
rnacentral:rRNA from 1 species